AAUACCCGUAGCUUAAUUUAAAGCUCUCUGCUGAAAAUGGAGGAGAUGAUGUGAUUAUCCGGUGUUA
rnacentral:tRNA from 1 species